UACGUAGGGUGCAAGCGUUGUCCGGAAUUAUUGGGCGUAAAGAGCUCGUAGGCGGUUUGUCGCGUCGAAUGUGAAAUCCCGGGGCUCAACCCCGGGUCUGCAUUCGAUACGGGCAGACUAGAGUUCGGUAGGGGAGUCUGGAAUUCCUGGUGUAGCGGUGAAAUGCGCAGAUAUCAGGAGGAACACCGGUGGCGAAGGCGGGACUCUGGGCCGAUACUGACGCUGAUGCACGAAAGCGUGGGGAGCAAACAGG
rnacentral:rRNA from 1 species